rnacentral:rRNA from 1 species
AUUGAACGCUGGCGGCAGGCCUAACACAUGCACGUCGCGCGGAGCGGCGGACGGGCGAGUAAUGCCUAGGAAUCUGCCUGGUAGCGGGGGAUAACGUCCGGAAACGGGCGCUAAUACCGCAUACUAUCAGAUGAGCCUAGGUCGGAUUAGCUAGUUGGUGUGGUAAAGGCCUACCAAGGCGACGAUCCGUAACUGGUCUGAGAGGAUGCUCGGUCAAACUGGAACUGAGACACGGUCCAGACUCCUACGGGAGGCAGCAGUUGGGAAUAUUGGACAAUGGGCGAAAGCCUGAUCCAGCCAUGCCGCGUGUGUGAAGAAGGUGUUCGGAUUGUAAAGCACGUUAAGUUGGGAGGCGUUACCAACAGAAUAAGCGCCGGCUAACUUCGUGCCAGCAGCCGCGGUAAUAC